rnacentral:rRNA from 1 species
UAAUUGAAGAGUUUGAUCAUGGCUCAGAUUGAACGCUGGCGGCAGGCUUAACACAUGCAAGUCGAGCGGUAGCACAGGGGAGCUUGCUCCCUGGGUGACGAGCGGCGGACGGGUGAGUAAUGUCUGGGAAACUGCCUGAUGGAGGGGGAUAACUACUGGAAACGGUAGCUAAUACCGCAUAACGUCGCAAGACCAAAGAGGGGGACCUUCGGGCCUCUUGCCAUCAGAUGUGCCCAGAUGGGAUUAGCUA